AUUGAACGCUGGCGGCAUGCUUUACACAUGCAAGUCGAACGGUAACAGGCCUUCGGGUGCUGACGAGUGGCGGACGGGUGCGUAAUGCAACGGAACGUGCCCAGAGCCGGGGGAUAACGCAUCGCAAGCUGUGCUAAUACCGCAUGUGAUCUGAGGAUGAAAGCGGCGGACCAGGCAGCAAUGUUUGGCCUCGCGCCUUUCGAGCAGCCGAUGUCAGAUUAGGUAGUUGGUGGGGUAAAGGCCUACCAAGCCGACGAUCUGUAGCUGGUCUGAGAGGAUGACCAGCCACACUGGGACUGAGACACGGCCCAGACUCCUACGGGAGGCAGCAGUGGGGAAUUUUGGACAAUGGGCGCAAGCCUGAUCCAGCAAUGCCGCGUGAGGGAAGAAGGCCUUCGGAUUGUAAACCGCUUUUGUACGGAACGAAAAAGCUCUGGCUAAUACCUGGGGCUGAUGACGGUACCGAAAGAAUAAGCACCGGCUAACUACGUG
rnacentral:rRNA from 1 species